UUACAAGUACUACGUGUAAAAACUAUAUAACAAUAUAAUUAGAGCAUUAAAUUUUAAAUCAUAAAGUGAAAAUAUGAUUAAAAUUGUCAUGUUUGUUCAUGUUAUCACUUUCAUUCUUUAUCUAUUUCUUGUCAAUUUGAACGUUAACGGUAAGUUUUUUUUUUCUCAAAAUUUCUUUCUUACAUAAUGUUUUAUCUUAUGUUAGCAAUAUUUAGUUUUAUUCUCUUUUUUCAUUAUAGCUGGGCGUCGUAAAUGUUUUAGUGAUGAUGAUUGUCCAACAAAAGAUUGCGGCACUCCUUUGUUACCUGUGUGUUUUUUAAGAAUAUGUAUUUGUAUUUGAGUGACUUCACAUAUAUGAUAUGAUGAUCAAAUCCUAUAACAUUAAAUGAGUUCUUCUUAGUUAUGGUAUUGACAUCUUAUAGUUUGAUUCUCAUUUAGUUAUUUUUUCAAAUCUCAAGGGCUAUUGUUAUGGUUUUAAAAUAGAAUAAAAAAUAUUAUAUAGACUAUCUUCUUCUUGUUAUAAGAAAUUAGAAAACCUUAAAUUAUUCUAGAAUAUAUUAAACAUGUUUUAUUAUUAUUUUGAAUUUUUUUUCAAAAAUAUAAAAUUAAUUAGUAAUGUGAAUUAUCUAUCAAAAUGUUAAUUUAUAAUAAUAAUGUUUUAUUUACCAUAUCAAUUUAGAAUAAUAACAUAAAAAAAUACAUUCAUGUGAUAAUAGUAAUUCUAUUAGUUUAAAUACUCCAUUUGGUCAGGUAAAUAUACUUCAUUUCGAAAAAUAUAAGGGAUAUCAUCCUAUUUUCUUAUCUCUUGAUUUCCUUAGUUUUAUAUAUUAUAACAUUAUAUAUAGUAUGUAGUAUUAUAUAAUUAGACUACUAAUUUAUAUCAUCCUUUCAGUUCACAAAAUAUCAUAAAAUAAAUAUUUAAGUACUCGAUCUUUUCAUUAUGUUGUUAGUAUGAUUGUUUCCAUCGGAUGUGCUUACUACUGCUAGAUUAUAUAUCCUUAUCACUUUUAUUAUUAUUAUUAUUAUUAUUAUUAUUAUUAUUAUUAUUAUUAUUAUUAUUAUUAUUAUUAUUAUUUGUCUUANGGAUGUGCUUACUACUGCUAGAUUAUAUAUCCUUAUCACUUUUAUUAUUAUUAUUAUUAUUAUUAUUAUUAUUAUUAUUAUUAUUAUUAUUAUUAUUAUUAUUAUUAUUUGUCUUAGGUAGGAUGUGAUUGUAUGAGAAUUAUUUGCAACCACGAUCCAGAUCCAAUAUCUAUUGUAGAAAAUGGGAAAGCGCACUACCUAUAACCAUAGUAAAAUGUAUAAAGGUUCUAAUAUCUAUUGUCAUACCCUAAUUUUUCCUUUUCCUUUGAUCAAUAAAUCAAUACAUUUAUCAUGACAUUUGCAUCAUCUACAUAUCAUAGUAUAUUUUUCUUUCCGCAUAAUGCUUAAAAAGUCGACUAGAAUAAAAUAUUCGAUUUUACCGAAAUAUCAGUUGAAUCAAGUUUCAAAUGUGCGUAAACUUGAUGGACAAAUAAUUUUGAGAUCGAACCUGCCACUAUUAGUUAUAUCGAUCUCACUAGUGCAAAGUGACAAAUAUAAUUUUAACUUUUACUUCCAUUAUACAGAAAACAAAAACAUGUGUAAAUAAGAAACAAAGAUUAAUAAAUAAAAUACCAUUUUAAGUAUUAGCACAUGACAAUAGACAUCUUAUUUUUAAUAAAAGGGUGUAAAUUAAAAUUAUUAUUAUAAUCAAAUUUCUAUUACACCCGUUAAAGAUAAAACGAAUGUAAGUUUAGAUUGAUUAAAAAAAUUAUUUAUUUUUAUAGUUUUAAAUAUUAAUCUGAACAAAUUAACAAACCACAAUAUUUUUUAUUAAGGGUUAAUUGAGUAAGUAAGUAAAUUAAUGCGUUUAAAUUUAUUAAGUUAAUAUUAUGUAAAUAAAAUAAUAAAAAACCCAUUUUUCUGAAACCCGAAAAGCUUCAUCGCCCAUCCUUCCUCUCCCAAUUUCCAUCGACCAAAACACGAUCAUGAAUAAAUAAAGAGUAUCUCUUACGCAUCUUAUACUUGUAAUGAGUGUAAAUGUAAAACUAACAGUCUUUUAAACAUGUGGCAUGAGAAAAACAAUAGCAAUUGUGACAGCCUUUUAAAGACCAACAGUGGCAACAAUAACUGAAAGAAAGCAACCUAUUUUUCUUGCCUACACAAAAUAUUUAGUUUUGAAAUUAAUAAAACAACGUAAGAAAAUACAAGAUGAAUGAGGGUGUUGAUAUAUAGGACAUACAUAUGAAAAAAUAAACAAAAGGGAUUUUAAAAAAUAUUAGAGAUAAGGAUAGGAAUAAUAUUAUAGGAUACUAUGUAAAAUGAAUUCAUAGUAGAACAAGUGAAAGUGACCAUGAUAUUGGCCCAUUUGUUGUGAAUAUGGAAGUAGCAGAGGAACACAGCCAUCAUUUGAGGACUAAAUAAGAAUUAGGAAUCAAGAGGAUUGAAGAGUAGGAGACAAUUCAGUCAUGUUUGUAAUGAGCUAAGUGUAAGAUCAUGUUUGUGAAUAAUUACUGCUUUGCUAUAACUUUCAAUUUCAAUAUUAUUUAACUUUUGUUUCUAGCUUUUCAUUGAGUUUUUCCAAUCUUUAUCCAAUUUUGGCAACCUUGAGUUAAUUCUCUGUUGUUAGUAUCUGAUUUGUUAAAUAUUGUUUUUGGUUUUGAUCAUAUUCAAACUUGAUGUUAGUGGCAUCAUCAUGUGUUUUUGAAG
rnacentral:lncRNA from 1 species